AAAUUGAAGAGUUUGAUCAUGGCUCAGAUUGAACGCUGGCGGCAGGCCUAACACAUGCAAGUCGAACGGUAGCACAGAGAGCUUGCUCUCGGGUGACGAGUGGCGGACGGGUGAGUAAUGUCUGGGAAACUGCCUGAUGGAGGGGGAUAACUACUGGAAACGGUAGCUAAUACCGCAUAACGUCGCAAGACCAAAGAGGGGGACCUUCGGGCCUCUUGC
rnacentral:rRNA from 1 species